rnacentral:rRNA from 1 species
GACGAACGCUGGCGGCGUGCUUAACACAUGCAAGUCGAACCAAAAUACCAAGCUUGCUUGGUUGAUUAGUGGCGAACGGGUGAGUAACACGUGAGUAACCUGCCCCUUACUUUCCUGGAUAACUGCUCGAAAGGGUAGCUAAUACGGGAUAUUCUGACCAGCCUGCAUGGGUUGGUUUGGAAAGGUUGUUUUUCUGGUAAGGGAUGGGCUCGCGGCCUAUCAGCUUGUUGGUGGGGUGAUGGCCUACCAAGGCUUUGACGGGUAGCCGGCCUGAGAGGGUGGACGGUCACACUGGGACUGAGAUACGGCCCAGACUCCUACGGGAGGCAGCAGUGGGGAAUAUUGCACAAUGGGCGCAAGCCUGAUGCAGCGACGCCGCGUGAGGGAUGAAGGCCUUCGGGUUGUAAACCUCUUUCGUCAGGGAACAAGGCACUGCUUUUUUGGUGGUGUUGAGGGUACCUGGAUAAGAAGCGCCGGCUAACUACGUG